GAUGAACGCUGGCGGCAGGCUUAAUACAUGCAAGUUGAACGGUAACAUGUUGUAGCAAUACGAUGAUGACGAGUGGCGCACGGGUGCGUAACACGUGUGUAACCUACCUUAUACAGGAACAUAACGUUGAGAAAUCGGCGCUAAUAUUCCAUAAUAUUAUUUAUAGGCAUCUAUAGAUAAUUAAAACCCCGGUGGUAUAAGAUGGGCACGCGUUCCAUUAGCUAGUUGGUAAGGUAACGGCUUACCAAGGCCACGAUGGAUAGGGGUUCUGAGAGGAUACACCCCCACACUGGAACUGAGACACGGUCCAGACUCCUACGGGAGGCAGCAGUAAGGAAUAUUGGGCAAUGGAGGCAACUCUGACCCAGCCAUGCCGCGUGCAGGAAGACGGCCCUACGGGUUGUAAACUGCUUUUAAUAGGGAGUAAAUCAGCUACGUGUAGUUGAUUGCAAGUACCUAUAGAAUAAGCAUCGGCUAACUCCGUGCCAGCAGCCGCGGUAA
rnacentral:rRNA from 1 species